rnacentral:lncRNA from 1 species
CACCAUCUUCAUUGUCUGUUGCAAAGACAUCCCCGUGAUUCAUCAAUCCAGCACUAGUGAAAGUACACGGCCCUUUCUGAUCCUGGACACCCUGCUCUGAUGACUGAAAAGGCUGAUAACCAAUGCCAAACAUGUCUUCUUUUACGGGCACAUCAAUCACCUUGCCCCAGCCUUCCGUGUCACCUGAAUGAAUGACCUCUAGAGCUUGUUUAUAGGACACAAUCGAGGUACCUGGUUU